GUCUCGGGAUCCAUUGGCAUCCCAGAUUUUCACUCCCUUGGAAGACAGCUCUUUAGCAUUUGUGGAUCCCUGGAAGAGAUGGGGAGAGCAGAACAGGCAUCCAGUGCAGGUGCAUCAACUCCUGUAUUUGAUCGAGUCACCAAUGGAGUAACUCCAACUAUCAAGGCUGGAGUACAGUGCCACAAUCUCAGCUCACUACAACCUCCGCCUCGUGAGCAAUUCUCACGCCUCAGCCUCCUGAGUAGCUGGGAUUACAGGCAUGCACCAGCACACCUGGCUCAUUUUUUGUGUUAUUAGUAGAGACUAGGGUUUCACCAUGUUGGCCAGGCUGGUCUCAAAUUCCUAACCUCAGGUGAUCUGCCUCGGCCUCCCAAAGUGCUGGGAUUACAGGCGUGAGCCACCACACCUGGCCGCUUUGGCUUUUGAAAGGAUCUCACUGGCUGCUGUGUUGAGAACAGACUACUGACUUCUAAUAGCAGCGACUUCUUUACCUUGAUAAACCACAGCAACUCCUCCAAAACACCCUUCCAGAACACACGUUUGGUUGUCAGCAGAGGAAAUUCAUCUGAAAAACAAUUUGCCAUACGGUUUCAAGAUGGGAAGACAGAUCAUGCCAUCCAGGGAAGAAAACUGCCCUGGGACGUGAGGCCCUGGAGCAUCCAGAAAGCCUAGACUCCCGCAAAGUGGGCCAGAGGUCAGGGUGGAGCUCCCAGGCUGCAAGUCACAUCAGUGACCCAAUUCAGGCUGAGACAGCACUUCUGUGCCCCGGUGACCACUGGACACAGGAAUUCCACACACUGAGAUGGUGGUGAGGGCAGGGAUGACCAUGUGGAAAAAGGGAGGAGCUAUCGUCCACUGCCCACUAGUGCUCAUCCUGUCACAAAGGUGUGAAGACAACACCAAGCAUGUGUCCCAGGAACAAAAAGGGAGGCAUCAGAAGUGUCGAGCCACAGAGAAAUAAAAGUGUAAAAACUUA